rnacentral:lncRNA from 1 species
AGCUCAGGUUAAAGUACAAGGAACUGGCUUCACCUCUCAGUGUCCAUGGAGUUCUUCCCUAACACCCUGAGUCUCUCUUCUAGCUUAUGUUCAGGAGUCUCCUUACUCAAGGUUUCAUCGGCGUAAAGAAGCUGUGUGUGUUUAUUCCUCGAGACCCAAGGGUACAUGGAUGCUUAACACAAUGCCAAAGCCAGCAUGCUGAGCAAGUCAUAAGGCGUAGACCCUCAGGACACAAAAGGAACCCAGGGCUGGGGCAGAGGAUUUCUGUGGUUCUGAGCCUCGGUGCAGAAUUGACAUCAUGGCUCUCCAGGGUCCGUGCCUCACUUUUACAAGCAGAAAAGAGGACAGUCGCCUGCUAGAAGCUGUGGCCUUGCAGGACACUUCUUGGCCAGUGCUUCCCUCCGCCCCCUAUCUCAGCUUCUCCAGGACUCUGCCAGCAGGAGAGGACUGAGGACUGUGCCUCAGCAGGUCUGUUCUUCUUGCUUAUGUGACUCAUGGCCAUGGCUUCUCUGUUGCCCAAGACUUGUAUGUACAGCCCCGAUCAGCUGGGUUUUAUCACUGCUUCCUGGAUUCCUCUUAUUUUUCUUGUGUUGCUUGAAGGACCAGUGCUUCCGCCUAUCUGCUGCCAGGAUCACAUUAGGGCUUCCUGUGUCUGCGGCUCACGUCUUGGCUCGGGGACAUACCUGCGAUGAUACUGAACAAGUUGAGGCCAUCGCCUGGGGACUAACUCACUGCUAAAUGACGUCAAUAAACCCCUUUGAGGUUGCUGCA